rnacentral:tRNA from 1 species
GGCAACGGAAGUGUAACACCCGGCUUGCACGUCCAGGGAUGGAAGGUUCAGGUUCAAAUCCUGACGUUGCCACCA